GGACGGGUGAGUAAUGCCUAGGAAAUUGCCCUGAUGUGGGGGAUAACCAUUGGAAACGAUGGCUAAUACCGCAUGAUGCCUACGGGCCAAAGAGGGGGACCUUCGGGCCUCUCGCGUCAGGAUAUGCCUAGGUGGGAUUAGCUAGUUGGUGAGGUAAGGGCUCACCAAGGCGACGAUCCCUAGCUGGUCUGAGAGGAUGAUCAGCCACACUGGAACUGAGACACGGUCCAGACUCCUACGGGAGGCAGCAGUGGGGAAUAUUGCACAAUGGGCGCAAGCC
rnacentral:rRNA from 2 species